AACAAGACAGGCCCAGCUUAAAAAAAUUGAGGCCCCUGGUUAAUUUAAUCACGUGUUGGUGGGGGAGAGAGAGUAGAACGUCGGAAGAAGAGCAAACCCUAAUUUUUUGGAUUGGAGAGCGAGGAGACACCCCCCACACCAGAGUAGAAGAAAUGUGGAGUCGGAUUUUCCCACCAAGUCGGUAUAUACAGGGUUAUAUAGGAUAUGGCAUUCCAGGUUCUGUUGGAUUUUUGGGCUACACAAUUUGGGAAUUGAGAAGGAGUAAGAGAAACAUGAAGAGGAUGGAGGAAAUAGUAGAAGAAGUAAACGACAGGAUUAAUCGUACGACCGAAAAAAGGAAU